rnacentral:rRNA from 1 species
CAGCAGCCGCGGGAAUACGAAGGGGGCUAGCGUUGUUCGGAUUUACUGGGCGUAAAGCGCACGUAGGCGGAUCGAUCAGUCAGGGGUGAAACCCCAGAGCUCAACUCUGGAACUGCCUUUGAUACUGUCGAUCUGGAGUAUGGAAGAGGUGAGUGGAAUUCCGAGUGUGGAGGUGAAAUUCGUAGAUAUUCGGAGGAACACCAGUGGCGAAGGCGGCUCACUGGUCCAUUACUGACGCUGAGGUGCGAAAGCGUGGGGAGCAAACAGGAUUAGAUACCCCUGUAGUCCCUGUCUCUUAUAC